ensembl:lncRNA
AUGUCUGAUCUUGAGAUGGACCGUCUCCUGAAUGAGAUGAGUGACCUUGUCGAUCAGGCUGAACAUCAAGCUCACCUCCAACAGCUCAUUAGCAUGCACCAGGAAGCAGAACCAUCCACCGGUCAGCCUUCCACCAGUAAUCCAUCCACCAGCCCGGCCAUCAAAAAAAGCAAGCAAGGCGUUAGGUGGAUUAAGAGGGACAGUGAUGGAAACAUUAUUUACGGCAGGCCCAGAUCAUCCCGGAAACAAGCAGGUAGUCCCAGUCACAGCCAGAGUCGAAAGACUGGUGUCUCUCAUAUCAGGGCUCCUGAAACCAGUGCGGAAAUGACCAGUGACUUUCCUUCCGUUACUGCAGAGUCCUUCCUUCAAGAGCUUAAAAGCUCACUGUUUGAGGAAAUACAUGAGGAUGAAACGGUACUUCAAGCCUCAACAGACUGGUCGACCCGAAAGAGCCUCAUAUCAGGGUGGUGGGAGAAAGAGAGACCCCGACUGGUCAACACCAUGGUGGCUGGACAACAUGCGGCAACUCGGAUCUGCCAACAUUGUGGAAAUGGUCCAGCCGUAAUCCGUUGUUGUGACUGCCGACCACACCCAUUCCUCUGUGGCCAGUGUGAUGUCAGGGUCCACCGAGGUCAAGUGUUCCACAACAGGGAUUCGAUGACACAUGCAUUCUUUCAUCCAUUGCCUCCCACAACUUGUGUUGUGGAGAGGGUUCUAACCCAGUGUGGUAAGUUGUAGUUUUUAAAAGUCACAUUCUUAGACUUGACUGAAAAACUGAUAGGUCGAUGAAGCAGUCAAGUACAUCUUGUUUAAAAUAGUUGCCAGUAAAUAAAUGUUAUUUUUUAAUGCUUAUCCAUGUGUUUUUUGUUUUUUAAGAGCGUCUUGUACCUUUGGAGAUGCCAGAGACAAUAUGCGGUUGUCUACGAGUAUCGUCCAGUGUCAUCGCAGGACAGUCCAUAGUUGUGGUUACAAUGAAUGGUAAGAAGAACUUUAUGGGUUUGGGUGGGGGUCACUUCUGUAGAAGUGUCUGCUGAAUCUCACCCACAGCUAUUUGCUGAUCACACCUCGUAUAUACUCCCUCUCACUUUUUGUCACAAUUAUGCACAUAUACGUAUCAUGUUAAAUUCAUACAUGUUACAUUGUGCAAGAAAUAUUCUUUAUCAUGGCUGGAAAUCCAGAGGUGUCAAUAGGUUGUGUGUUGAUUAGAUUGGCUGGGCCCAACUAUGUGAUGGAAAACAAUUAACCUUUGUUUGAAAGGGGAUAGUUAAUUUGCCUGACAAAUGUGUGACUUCCAAUAGAGUGCCUUACAAAAUGUUUGUAGAAGUAUCCUCCUGAUCCAUCCUUAGUCAAAGGUUCCCAUAUCAGUUGUCAGAAUGACACAGUUUAGUCUGUCAGAAUUAACUUUGUGUAUAUAUUUCCUUCUUUUUCCAGGGCGAUAUGAUCUCAGAUUGCCUCAGAUUAGAUGCAAAGCAUGUGAAGCCACUUGGAGUCCUGGAGUGGAUGACCUGAUCCGUAAUGACUACUGGCCUGCCACUUCUCACUAUUCAACUGUGUAUGCAACAGAUGUCCUUUUUUUCUUUUUGAAGAGCUGAAGAUGGCAGCACCAGGGAUGUCUAGCCAAGCAUUUCUUAGAAUGCUGGAUCAACGCACUGUUCGAUUUGGCCGUGUAAGUAUUUGUGGUAAUAAUUGCGUAACUCCAUAAAUAAUACUAUGAGGGCAUGAUGAUGAUGAUAGUACACAUGAACAUUUGCACUGUUUAGGAAAAAAGUUGUGUUCAAUUUAGACCCUUUAUAAACAACCAUAAACUCAUGUUCUCUCAUCAGCAGUUUGCACUGAGACAUUUCCACAGGUAAUUCUGAAGAUCUCAACUUCUACUCCAUUGGCUACAGACUUUGACAUCUUCUCCCCAAUAUCAUUUCCUGAUCCCAGAAGUGUUCCCUUGGAUUAAUGGCCCAAACACUGCACAGGCUUACUUCUAAACAAUAUUGUAGCUGUUGUAGCCCUCUUUGUGUAAAGAUUUAAACUGAAUGUCAAACAAUAUCCUGUAUUUUUAAUGGCCAGGUCCCCCAAAUACACCAGUGUAUAGUGUAUGAGUGAAGUCUACACAUUGUUUAUUUCCUUUGAUAUGUAUUCUAAGGAGUGGUUACGAAGUUAGUACAAACAUCCCAUAUGUAUCCAUUUAGAACAUUUUACUUCAGUGUAGUAUAUUGUUUAAUUUGAUCCGUUUUACUGUUCUCUUUUGUUCUCUUUUACUGAACUCUUCUUUGAAACAGAGUGGAAACAUCACAGCAGACAGCUUCCGGAAAAAGCUUCUUGGAGUGGGAAGCUGUCCGAUUCGAAAGUGGACAAAUUAUGCCAGGAGGACCACUUUGACUGCCCAGCGUGCAGCCCAGACAUGCUUGCAGUAUCCGUUGAUGGAAACCGUAAGCACUACAGAUUCAAGAGUGCAGCAAGGUACUGUGUGUGCAUUGACGGUCCAUUACUUUGAAAGUAACUGCUGUGAAUUGAAAAUCAUAUGAAUAUUUAAAGUUAAUAUGUAUCUCUUUUAUUUAGAUCGGAGGAAAAAGCCAUCUUUGAUGGCGUGUUCAUCGCAAAUGAUGAUGAUGUCGCAAGAUUCGUGGACUAUGUCCAUACCUCAACCAGUCAUGUAAACUUGCACAACUUCUCUAUAUUUACCUAUAAAAACACCACGUCCUACAGAGGACUUAGUUUGAACAAGUUUGGAAUGUUAAACAUCUUCCAUGUUUUUAGGUCUCUGGAAGAGGUGUCUGUGGAGGGCAAUGGUCAGCGGCGCGUGAAACUUCUCAGAAGUCCUCAGGAAAAACAGACGAGGAGGGCCUGGAACUCGCUGUAUGUCGUCAUGGGGUUCUCCUUCGUGCCCUCAAUAUGUUCAGGGGGGAGAUUUUUGCCUACCCCCUGUACCUCCAAAAGCAAAUGGCCUGUAAGCCAGUUAAAUUUUUUGCAAUGGAUGUGGCAUGCAAGUACUGGCCUUACCUCCAGAGAGUGACAGAGAAAUGCCCUGAGCUUGAGGAUCUCCUCACCAUGAGGCCAUUUCUUUCUGUUUUUCAUGCCAAAGCUCAUGAUUUCAAAUGUGAGGUAAGAAAAAAUGAUUGUCCAUGAUAUUUUCUUUCCCUAAAAAUCCUGCAUAAGAUUGUUGCCACUUAGGUUUUGUUUUUUUGUUUUCUUUUUUUAAAGGUAAAAUGGAGUGGAGCAUAUCAGGAGGGGCUGGUUCGACUCUUGGGGAAGAGGUGGAGCAGUGCAACGCCUUCCUCUCGAGGAUUGCUGUUACGACAAAGCACAUGUCAAAAAGCAGGUAAGGUAACCAGUAAAUUUUGAUCCUGAUGACAUGGGUGAGCCACUUAUGCAUACAUGCUGACUCUGAAAAUAUAAAGAUCAGAAUAUAUUAAACACAAAUGGAUGGAUCGAUUACAAUAACAUCAUCCUAUUUUAUUUGACGUGAGGAUAAUAAGGAAGGGCAGUGCGAUAUAAAAAAAACACAUCCAAGUACCAUUCACCUACUGUCCUGCCAUAGUGCUCCAUACCAUUU